rnacentral:miRNA from 1 species
GGGAUCUCACUCAAAUGCAGAUUCUGAUUCAGCAGGUUUGGGAUGGGACCUGAGAUUCUGCAUUUUUAACAAGCUC